rnacentral:rRNA from 1 species
UAUCAAUAAGCGGAGGAAAAGAAACCAACAGGGAUUGCCUCAGUAACGGCGAGUGAAGCGGCAACAGCUCAAAUUUGAAAUCUGGCCUCGGCCCGAGUUGUAAUUUGCAGAGGAUGCUUCUGGCAACGUGCCUUCCGAGUCCCCUGGAACGGGGCGCCGGAGAGGGUGAGAGCCCCGUACGGUUGGACGCCGCGCCUGUGUGAAGCUCCUUCGACGAGUCGAGUAGUUUGGGAAUGCUGCUCUAAGCGGGAGGUAAAUUCCUUCUAAAGCUAAAUACCGGCCAGAGACCGAUAGCGCACAAGUAGAGUGAUCGAAAGAUGAAAAGCACUUUGGAAAGAGGGUUAAAAAGUACGUGAAAUUGCUGAAAGGGAAGCGCCUGCGACCAGACUCGCGCCGGGCGAAUCAUCCAGCGUUCUCGCUGGUGCACUUCGCCCGGUCCGGGCCAGCAUCGGUUCUGACGGGGGGACAAAAGCCCGGGAAAUGUAGCUCCCUCCGGGGAGUGUUAUAGUCCCUCGCCUAAUACCCCCGCCGGGACCGAGGACCGCGCUUACGCAAGGAUGCUGGCAUAAUGGUCGUCGGCG